GCUUGUGUUUGUGUGUGUUUCCCCCCCUUUUAGCCGCGUUUGCUUAUUGGCUUACCCGCACACAAAUCAAGGUUAAUAGUGGAUGAAUGGAUGGUUGGAUGGACGGCUGUCUGUGAGCAUGCGCACACCUUUCCAAUCAAUCAGUUUACACAAAAUUAGCAUACGGCCCCAACGCCCAACCAACGGUCACGUCACGACGACUCGAACAACUCCCAAAACAGUGGAAACCUGGGAAAUAUUCUGCACAUUGGCAUGGAAAAGUGAUCCAAUUGGGAAAGUUUAUGUUUCAAAGGCUUCCAGGAUACAAGCAAAAAAAAGGAACAACAAUGCACCUUUCAACCUCCUCCGCGCUCUGACAAGACAAUGAAAAGUGAAAUUGUCUCGAUAGAUAUUUCGUUUUGUAUUUGGAGGUGGGGAGUGGGGAAUGGGGUAUGGGAAUCAAUGAAAGUCACAGCCAAAGUGCAGAGGGAGUCGAUGCUCGCAUGUUCGCAUAAUCAUGCCAAAAACGGCAACAAAAGACCAAUGAAAAAGUGGCAAAACACAACGACACAAAAAGCCAGCCGAAAUGGAGAAAGGCAAAGGCAGACUCUCAACAUUGAAGGCCUCAAGAGCUGAGGAGGAGCUGAGGAGGAGCCACCAGCCCGUGCGAGUCUCAAAGCAUCACCUGCACAGAUCUGUGGUGGCACAGAUCUGAAGGACGUUUGCCCAAAAGGCAGGCAACUUUCACCAUUCGAGACCCCAACGACAGAGCCAGCCAGCCAGCCAUCCAUUCCAGAUAGACGUACCCGAUGUCAAUCAGAAAUGCCAUCCACAUCCACAGACGGACAGACGGACGGACGGACAGGUCUACUCGUACGGGUAUUUCAUUUUGCACAAUGCCCGAUUUCAUUGAGAAAUGCUGAAGGUUAAAAUGCAAUUGAAAGAAAUGAAAAUACAAAUAAUUGGGCAGACAUGAGAGGAAAGCUAAGAGAGGCUUCAACUUCAACUUGAAGCUCUCUGGCUCUUGUCACAGAUUUGCUUAUCAAAUUAGCCUCAAAUUGCGGCCAGCCAAGCGGAAAGUGGUGGCAAUUUCUGGCUUAAAGUGAUAGAAAAUAAUUCAAAAUAAUAAUCCCAUAUGAUUGGUAAUGUUUAAGCU